UACGUAGGGUGCGAGCGUUGUCCGGAAUUACUGGGCGUGAAGAGCUCGUAGGUGGUUUGUCGCGUUGUUCGUGAAAACUCACAGCUUAACUGUGGGCGUGCGGGCGAUACGGGCAGACUGGAGUACUGCAGGGGAGACUGGAAUUCCUGGUGUAGCGGUGGAAUGCGCAGAUAUCAGGAGGAACACCGAUGGCGAAGGCAGGUCUCUGGGCCGCAACUGACGCUGAGGAGCGAAAGCAUGGGGAGCGAACAGG
rnacentral:rRNA from 1 species